rnacentral:rRNA from 1 species
GUAGGUGGCAAGCGUUGUCCGGAAUUAUGGGCGUAAAGCGCGCGCAGGCGGGCCUUUAAGUCUGAUGUGAAAGCCCACGGGCUCAACCGUGAGGGUCAUUGGAAACUGGGGGACUUGAGUACAGAAGAGGAAAGCGGAAUUCCAAGUGUAGCGGUGAAAUGCGUAGAGAUUUGGAGGAACACCAGUGGCGAAGGCGGCUUUCUGGUCUGUAACUGACGCUGAGGCGCGAAAGCGUGGGGAGCAAACAGGAUUAGAUACCCUGGUAGUCCACGCCGUAAACGAUGAGUGCUAAGUGUUAGGGGGUUUCCGCCCCUUAGUGCUGCAGCUAACGCAUUAAGCACUCCGCCUGGGGAGUACGGCCGCAAAGGCUG